rnacentral:rRNA from 1 species
AGUGGCGAACGGGUGAGUAAUGCAUCGGAACGUACCGUGUAGUGGGGGAUAACGUAGCGAAAGUUACGCUAAUACCGCAUACGCCCUGAGGGGGAAAGUGGGGGACCGCAAGGCCUCACGCUAUAUGAGCGGCCGAUGUCGGAUUAGCUAGUUGGUAGGGUAAAGGCCUACCAAGGCGACGAUCCGUAGCGGGUCUGAGAGGAUGAUCCGCCACACUGGGACUGAGACACGGCCCAGACUCCUACGGGAGGCAGCAGUGGGGAAUUUUGGACAAUGGGCGCAAGCCUGAUCCAGCCAUGCCGCGUGAGUGAAGAAGGCCUUCGGGUUGUAAAGCUCUUUCAGACGGAAAGAAAUCUCUCGGGAUAACACCCUGGGAGGAUGACGGUACCGUAAGAAGAAGCACCGGCUAACUACGUGCCAGCAGCCGCGGUAAUACGUAGGGUGCGAGCGUUAAUCGGAAUUACUGGGCGUAAAGCGUGCGCAGGCGGUGAUGUAAGACAGAUGUGAAAUCCCCGGGCUCAACCUGGGAACUGCGUUUGUGACUGCAUCACUCGAGUACGGCAGAGGGAGGUGGAAUUCCGCGUGUAGCAGUGAAAUGCGUAGAUAUGCGGAGGAACACCGAUGGCGAAAGGCAGCCUCCUGGGCCAGUACUGACGCUCAUGCACGAAAGCGUGGG